GAGUUUGAUCAUGGCUCAGGAUGAACGCUGGCGGCGUGCUUAACACAUGCAAGUCGAACGAACCUUCGGGUUAGUGGCGGACGGGUGAGUAACGCGUGGGAAUCUGCCCUCAGGAGGGGGAUAACGGUUGGAAACGACCGCUAAUACCCCAUAUGCCGAGAGGUGAAAUGAAUUUCGCCUGAGGAUGAGCCCGCGUCUGUUUAGCUUGUUGGUGAGGUAAUGGCUCACCAAGGCAUCGAUCAGUAGCUGGUCUGAGAGGAUGAUCAGCCACACUGGGACUGAGACACGGCCCAGACUCCUACGGGAGGCAGCAGUGGGGAAUUUUCCGCAAUGGACGAAAGUCUGACGGAGCUACGCCGCGUGAGGGACGAAGGCCUCUGGGCCGUAAACCUCUUUUCUCAAGGAAGAAGAUAUGACGGUACUUGAGGAAUAAGCCACGGCUAAUUCCGUGCCAGCAGCCGCGGUAAUACGGGAGUGGCAAGCGUUAUCCGGAAUUAUUGGGCGUAAAGCGUCCGCAGGCGGCCUUUCAAGUCUGCUGUUAAAGCGUAGAGCUUAACUCCAUCUUGGCAGUGGAAACUGAUUGGCUUGAGUAUGGUAGGGGUAGAGGGAAUUCCCGGUGUAGCGGUGAAAUGCGUAGAUAUUGGGAAGAACACCAGUGGCGAAGGCGCUCUACUGGGCCAUUACUGACGCUCAUGGACGAAAGCCAGGGGAGCGAAAGGGAUUAGAUACCCCUGUAGUCCUGGCCGUAAACGAUGAACACUAGGUGUCGGGGGAAUCGACCCCUUCGGUGUCGUAGCUAACGCGUUAAGUGUUCCGCCUGGGGAGUACGCACGCAAGUGUGAAACUCAAAGGAAUUGACGGGGGCCCGCACAAGCGGUGGAGUAUGUGGUUUAAUUCGAUGCAACGCGAAGAACCUUACCAGGGCUUGACAUCCUGCGAACCUUUAAGAAAUUAGAGGGUGCCUUCGGGAACGCAGUGACAGGUGGUGCAUGGCUGUCGUCAGCUCGUGUCAUGAGAUGUUGGGUUAAGUCCCGCAACGAGCGCAACCCACGUUUUUAGUUGCCAGCAUUUAGUUGGGCACUCUAGAAAGACCGCCGGUGAUAAAUCGGAGGAAGGUGUGGAUGACGUCAAGUCAUCAUGCCCCUUACGUCCUGGGCUACACACGUACUACAAUGCUACGGACAAAGGGCAGCAAACUCGCGAGAGCUAGCAAAUCCCAUAAACCGUGGCUCAGUUCAGAUCGUAGGCUGCAACUCGCCUACGUGAAGUAGGAAUCGCUAGUAAUCGCAGGUCAGCAUACUGCGGUGAAUACGUUCCCGGGCCUUGUACACACCGCCCGUCACACCAUGGAAGUUGGCCACGCCCGAAGUCGUUACUUUAACCCUUGUGGAGAAGGACGCCGAAGGUGGGGCUGAUGACUGGGGUGAAGUCGUAACAAGGUAACC
rnacentral:rRNA from 1 species